AAUAGAAUGGCUGAUUAAAAGUGAUAAAUUGUAAAUUUAUAAAUGUGAUAUUUUCAUUUCUA
rnacentral:tRNA from 1 species